rnacentral:rRNA from 1 species
ACUCAAAUGAAUUGACGGGGACCCGCACAACCAGUGGAGCGUGUUGUUCAAUUCGAUACUAAGCGAAAAACCUCACCAGGGCUUGACAUGUAACUGCAAAUCCGGUGAAAGCCGGACUUCUUCGAGAGUGUUACACAGGUGCUGCAUGGCUGUCGUCAGCUCGUGCCGUGAGGUGUUCCCUUAAGUGGGGAAACGAGCGCAACCCCCGCCUAAUGUUACAUAUUCAUUAGGGACGGUCCCAUUUUUUGGGAAGGAAGGAGGGGAAGACGUCAAGUCAGCACGGUCCUUACGCCCUGGGCCACAAACACCCUACAAUGGCGAAAAACAACGUGUUGCGACACAGCAAUGUGAAGCUAAUCACUGAAAUUUCGUCUCAGUUCAGAUUGAGGGCUGCAACUCGCCCUCAUGAAGUCGGAAUUGGUAGUAAUCGCGGAUCAGCAGGCCGCGGUGAAUACGUUCUCGGGUCUUGUACACACCGCCCGU